AUGUCGUUGGAUGUUACUCAAAUACUCCUCAGUGCGCAAUCUGCUGAUGGCUCGAUUAGAAAGCAUGCUGAAGAAAGCCUCAAGCAGUUUCAGGAGCAAAACCUCCCAGGUUUCUUGCUCUCCCUCUCAACUGAGUUGGCCACCAAUGAGAAACCUGAGGAGAGCCGUAGAUUGGCUGGUCUGAUCCUCAAGAAUGCACUCGACGCAAAGGAGCAGCACAGGAAGAACGAACUUUUCCAGAGAUGGCUCGCACUGGAUGCUGGUGUCAAGGCACAAGUUAAAGCAUUGUUGCUGCAAACUCUCUCAUCUCCUGUUGCAAGUGCCAGAUCUACAUCUUCUCAAGUCAUCGCAAAGAUUGCUGGCAUUGAGAUCCCUCAAAAGCAAUGGCCCGAGCUUAUAGGAUCAUUGCUAUCAAACAUACAUCAGGUACAGCCAAACGUCAAGCAGGCAACGCUUGAGACACUUGGCUAUUUAUGCGAGGAAGUUUCUCCUGAAGCUGUCGACCAAGACCAAGUCAACAAGAUACUCACAGCUGUUGUUCAGGGUAUGAAUGCUUCUGAAGGGAACUCUGAAGUGAGGCUUGCAGCCACACGAGCAUUGUAUAAUGCAUUGGGCUUUGCUCAGGUUAAUUUCUCCAAUGACAUGGAGCGUGAUUAUAUCAUGAGAGUCGUCUGUGAAGCAACACAGUCACCAGAUGUGAAGAUAAGACAGGCUGCCUUUGAGUGUUUGGUGGCUAUUUCAUCAACUUAUUACGACAAGCUGGCCACAUACAUGCAGGAUAUAUUUAACAUCACUGCAAAGGCUGUGAGGGGAGAUGAGGAGUCGGUUGCACUUCAGGCCAUGGAAUUCUGGAGUUCCAUAUGUGAUGAGGAAAUCGACAUUUUGGACGAGUACAGUAGUGAAUUUACAGCUGAUUCUGAUGUUCCUUGCUACUAUUUUAUCAAGCAAGCUCUUCCUGCCCUGGUGCCAAUGCUGCUGGAGACUCUCCUCAAACAGGAGGAUGACCAAGACUUGGAUGAAGGUGCUUGGAAUCUUGCAAUGGCUGGGGGUACUUGUUUGGGCCUGGUGGCGAGGACUGUUGGGGAUGAUAUUGUUCCUCUUGUGAUGCCUUUCGUUGAGGAGAACAUAACAAAACCUGAAUGGAGACACAGAGAGGCUGCAACAUAUGCUUUUGGUUCCAUUUUGGAGGGUCCAUCAGCUGAUAAACUGACCCCUCUAGUUAAUGUCGCCUUGAAUUUUAUGCUGUCUGCCUUAGUGAAGGACCCAAAUAACCAUGUGAAGGACACAACUGCUUGGACCCUUGGAAGAAUAUUCGAGUUUCUUCAUGGUUCUGCACUUGAAACUGCUCCUGUCAUUACAGCUGAGAACUGCCAGCAAAUACUGACUGUGCUGCUUCAAAGCAUGAAGGAUGUCCCAAAUGUGGCAGAAAAGGCAUGUGGGGCACUCUAUUUCCUUGCUCAAGGCUAUGUUGAUGCUGGAUCGGCGUCACCAUUAUCCCCUUUCUUUCAAGAUAUUGUUCAGAGCCUUCUUGUGACCAGUCACAGAGAGGAUGCUGGUGAAUCCAGGCUGCGUACUGCAGCUUAUGAGACUCUAAAUGAAGUUGUCAGGUGCUCCACUGAGGAGACAGCUCCUAUCGUUAUGCAGCUAGUACCUGUGAUUAUGAUGGAACUCCAUAAUACACUUGAAGCGGGGAAGUUGUCAACUGAUGAGAGGGAGAAGCGGAGCGAUCUGCAGGGCCUUCUUUGUGGUUGCCUACAGGUUAUUAUCCAGAAGUUGGGAGGGAUGGAGUCAACAAAGUUUGCCUUCUUACAGUAUGCAGAUCAGAUGAUGGAUCUGUUUUUGAGAGUUUUUGCUUGUCGAAAUGCCACGGUGCAUGAGGAGGCUAUGCUUGCUAUCGGUGCACUUGCAUAUGCAGCUGGUUCGAGCUUCGCGAAGUACAUGGCACAGUUCUAUCAGUAUUUGGAAAUGGGACUUCAGAACUUUGAAGAGUAUCAGGUGUGUGCCAUUACGGUGGGUGUUGUGGGUGACUUGUGCAGGGCACUGGAGGACAAAAUUUUGCCCUACUGUGAUGGCAUCAUGACCCAGCUCCUGAAGGAUCUAUCCAGCAAUCAGUUGCACAGAUCUGUAAAACCACCUAUAUUCUCAUGCUUUGGUGAUAUUGCACUGGCAAUUGGAGAAAACUUUGAGAAGUAUUUGAUCUAUGCCAUGCCCAUGCUACAAAGUGCAGCAGAUUUGUCGGCGCACACAACUGCAACUGAUGAUGAAAUGCUUGACUACACCAAUCAACUAAGAAAUGGCAUCUUGGAGGCCUACUCUGGUAUUCUUCAAGGAUUCAAGAGUUCCCCUAAGACACAGUUACUGAUGCCGUAUGCUCCACAUAUUCUUCAGUUCCUUGAUGCCCUUCAUAAUGGAAAGGAUAUGGAUGAUUCUGUGAUGAAGACUGCAAUAGGUGUCUUGGGAGAUCUGGCAGACACAUUGGGUGUCAAUGCUGGUCCUUUGAUCAAUCAAUCCACCUCAAGCAAGCAAUUUUUGGACGAGUGCUUAUCAUCUGAUGAUCCUUUGGUCAAAGAAUCAGCUGACUGGGCAAGGAUUGCAAUCAGCCGUGCGGUUUCGGGUUGA
rnacentral:rRNA from 1 species